rnacentral:rRNA from 1 species
GGAAUCUUCCACAAUGGACGAAAGCCUGACGGAGCAACGCCGCGUGAGUGAAGAAGGUCUUCGGAUCGUAAAGCUCUGUUGUCGGGGACGAAUGUACCUUUUGUGAAUAAUGAGAGGUAAUGACGGUACCUGACGAGGAAGCCACGGCUAACUACGUGCCAGCAGCCGCGGUAAUACGUAGGUGGCGAGCGUUGUCCGGAAUUAUUGGGCGUAAAGGGAGCGCAGGCGGGAAGGCAAGUCAGUCUUAAAAGUGCGGGGCUCAACCCCGUGAUGGGAUUGAAACUGUCUUUCUUGAGUGCAGGAGAGGAAAGCGGAAUUCCUAGUGUAGCGGUGAAAUGCGUAGAUAUUAGGAGGAACACCAGUGGCGAAGGCGGCUUUCUGGACUGUAACUGACGCUGAGGCUCGAAAGCGUGGGGAGCGAACA